UCAGGCCUAACACAUGCAAGUCGAGCGGAAACGAGUUAUCUGAACCCUCGGGGAACGAUAACGGCGUCGAGCGGCGGACGGGUGAGUAAUGCCUAGGAAAUUGCCCUGAUGUGGGGGAUAACCAUUGGAAACGAUGGCUGAUACCGCAUGAUGCCUACGGGCCAAAGAGGGGGACCUUCGGGCCUCUCGCGUCAGGAUAUGCCUAGGUGGGAUUAGCUAGUUGGUGAGGUAAGGGCUCACCAAGGCGACGAUCCCUAGCUGGUCUGAGAGGAUGAUCAGCCACACUGGAACUGAGACACGGUCCAGACUCCUACGGGAGGCAGCAGUGGGGAAUAUUGCACAAUGGGCGCAAGCCUGAUGCAGCCAUGCCGCGUGUGUGAAGAAGGCCUUCGGGUUGUAAAGCACUUUCAGUCGUGAGGAAGGUAGUGUCGUUAAUAGCGGCAUUACUUGACGUUAGCGACAGAAGAAGCACCGGCUAACUCCGUGCCAGCAGCCGCGGUAAUACGGAGGGUGCGAGCGUUAAUCGGAAUUACUGGGCGUAAAGCGCAUGCAGGUGGUUUGUUAAGUCAGAUGUGAAAGCCCGGGGCUCAACCUCGGAAUAGCAUUUGAAACUGGCAGACUAGAGUAUUGUAGAGGGGGGUAGAAUUUCA
rnacentral:rRNA from 1 species